CCUACGGGUGGCUGCAGUAGGGAAUAUUGGACAAUGGGCGAAAGCCUGAUCCAGCCAUGCCGCGUGAUAGAUGAAGGCCCUCUGGGUUGUAAAUAUCUUUUAUCUGGGAAGAAACAAUCUUAUUCUUAAGAUCUUGACGGUACCAGAGGAAUAAGCACCGGCUAACUCCGUGCCAGCAGCCGCGGUAAUACGGAGGGUGCAAGAUUUACCGGGAUUCACUGGGUUUAAGGCGUGCUUAGGCGGGCUUAUAGAAAGCUCCGAGCUUAACUUGGAAUCUGCCCUUGAUACUGCCAGUCUUGAAUGUCGUAGAGGUAAGCGGAAUGUUGCAUGUAGCGGUGAAAUGCUUAGAUAUGUUACAGAACACCAAUUGCGAAGGCAGCUUACUAUGCGAUGAUUGACGCUGAGGCACGAAAGCGUGGGGAGCAAACAGGAUUAGAUACCCUAGUAGUC
rnacentral:rRNA from 1 species